rnacentral:rRNA from 1 species
UUACGAGGACAGUUGGAGGGCAAGUCUGGUGCCAGCAGCCGCGGUAAUUCCAGCUCCAAUAGCGUAUAUUAAAGUUGUUGCAGUUAAAAAGCUCGUAGUUGGAUUUUGGAACUCGCUUGUUGGGCCGCCGCAAGGUGUUGCUCCGACCAGGUGUGUUCUUUCCUCCCGAAAGCGGCGUGUGCGCUUAAUUGAGUGUGCGUCGAGUUUGGGACUUUUACUGUGAAAAAAUUAGAGUGUUCAAAGCAGGCUAUCGCUUGAAUAUUUCAGCAUGGAAUAAUGGAAUAGGACGUUGGUUCUAUUUUGUUGGUUUCUAGGACCAAAGUAAUGAUUAAUAGGGAUAGUUGGGGGCAUUAGUAUUUAAUUGUCAGAGGUGAAAUUCUUGGAUUUAUGAAAGACUAACUUCUGCGAAAGCAUUUGCCAAGGAUGUUUUCAUUAAUCAAGAACGAAAGUUAGGGGAUCGAAGAUGAUCAGAUACCGUCGUAGUCCUAACCAUAAACUAUGCCGACUAGGGAUUGGU